rnacentral:rRNA from 1 species
UACGUAGGGGGCGAGCGUUGUCCGGAGUUACUGGGCGUAAAGCGCACGCAGGCGGUCUGCUAAGUUUGGAGUGACAGUUGGUGGCUUAACUGCCAAAGUGCUUCGAAAACUGACAGACUUGAGGGCUUCAGAGGGACACGGAAUUCCGGGUGUAGCGGUGGAAUGCGUAGAGAUCCGGAAGAACACCGGUGGCGAAGGCGGCCUGCUGGGCAGUUUUGCUGACACUGAGGCGCGACAGCGUGGGGAGCAAACAGG